AAUAAUUCCAAUUUCAAACAAAUCUGUUAUCUGUGUUCUUUACCCUAACUCAUUGUUCUUGUUUAACAUAACCCACCCAGAAAAAUCAAUUCUCGCAGUCCUCUUCUCCCUCUCCUUACUCGUUGGUUGCUUACUUGCUUCCCCAACCUGUCUCCACUGCGUGCUCCCCUGCUUCGCGCCGUCCUGUUAUCGCCCAUGCUCCGCCUUCGCCGUCCUGUCUCGCACCGUUGGGCUGUCGAUGCCUUGCCUCACGUCGUCUAAGGUAUAUUAGCUUUUUUGUUAUUGAUUCACGAGUGUUCAAACUUGGAAAAAGAUGACACUCUUAGCAUUGAGAAUAUUUUAGCAAAAGCAUUGUUAGAUUCACCGAAUAAAAAAGAGAAGAAAAUCACAACAGUUAAUCCACUGGCUUCAAGCACUUGGGAAAAGGAGGCCAACAAGAGUGGUAACAACUGAUUACCUUCACCAUGGGUAAUUGUUGCCUUGCUUAUUCUGGGAUUUAACGAGUUUAUGACACUUUAUAAGGCUUCAUCAUGCUUUGUUUAGAAGAAUUUAAGUGUUAAGACAUUUGUUCUUCUUUGAUAACAUGCCCAAAGAUCUCGUCAGAUGACCAUGGGAAGAUAAAAUUGAACCAAUUACCACGCACAAAAGCUUUGGAACAGUUCACUCGAGCCGGUGAAGAAAUUCCCGUGGAAUAGAGCAUUGGACAACUUCAUUCAACUCAUUCUUGAUCUCUUUGUGGACAUAGUAAAAUACCUAGUUGUACCUAUGUUCAUAGUUACCUCCAUUAGUGAAUUAUCUUACUCUGCAAAUGAAUGGAAGCUGACUCUUGUUCCUAUUCCAUUUCUCUUCGCAAACUACCAGACAAUAACAACAUUCUUCUAUGAGCUCGCACUCGUCAAUUAGAAAAUAAAUUCAUUUUUA